rnacentral:lncRNA from 1 species
UGAUAAGUUUUCUGUUUAGAUCUGUUGCAGGUUCUAGCAUCGAAGUUACUUUUUCCAGGAGAGAAAAACGUUUGAAAACAAUGCUCCAUAUCUGUUCUACCGAAGCUACAACGCCAACUCGCGUGUGCUCAACAACAAUGAAGCGGAAGCAUCAAACAACAAUGGAACCUUGUUUCUUCUUUUUUUUUGCUUUAAUGCGAUUGGUUUUGUCUGUUUAUUUUUUGCAGCUCAUUGCCGGCUCAUAAUCGUUGCGGGUUCGAUUCAGGAUCUAAUAUAUUUUGAACUGAUUACGACAUCGUCAGAGUCCAUUCCAUUUCUAACCGCACAAGAAUAACCACCGUGUACACAUCUCAUGGGAAUUGGCUAUCUUUAGAAUGAGCCUUAACUUUCAAUGUAUGUCUUAAGUUUAAUUUUAUUAAUGCAUUUCGUGAGGAUAAUGUUCAGUAAGAUUUUGUUUUAUCAUAGUCAUGGUAAAAAGCAAAUUUAAUGCUUAUUUUUUAACAUGUAUGUUAAUUGAUCUUAUAAAGAUUUUUCACAGCUUAAAAAUAUUGUUAUGUUGUGGACUAACUUAUUCUUUGUUUAUUUUAAGCAAUCUACAUAAUUAAAAAAAGGUAAAUUACAACUACAUUUACUAAUUUACAUGCAUGAUGUACUUGGAUUUGUCUUUAACAGGUAGCAUAUAUUACAUAUUGCAAAUAAUUGGAUUUUAUUUAUUAAAUAUCAUGUAGAUAUUACAUUAUUACAUUGAGUGGUGUUAGUUGUAAGCUCAUGCAUUUUUUUUCUUUGUUGAAAUGAAAUUCACGGAAUUGGCAAGCUAUACUUAGGCCACUAAAAUUUCAAUAUACUGAUUUGUCAUUUCACCAUUGUUCUACCCUCACAUACGAAACUCAAACUCUUUGUCGCUAUGACCAAAUCCGUUUAUGAGCAACAUGUGGCCGAUUCAAUCGAUUUAUUUAUAUUCAAUAUUUCAUAUUAUUCUUUUAAAAUUAAUUAAUUAAAGUUUUGAUUAAAUUAGAUAUUUUAUUAACUAUUUUAAUUACUUAAUUAUUUGAUCUAUAUAAUACUUAAUCAAAACAAAUUUUGAUAAUAAUUUUUAAUUACCUAUUAACGACUUAACUGAAUUUUAAUUAUUAAUUUGUUUAAAAUUGACCGACUUAUUUCCCAUCAUUUUUUCUAUAUCAUUUCAAUAUACAAACUCAAAUUCCAUUUCAUUUCCAAAACCAUCAAAAUUGCAUAUCCAUCAUUCAAUGGUCGAGACCAUUUUUUCAAUACCUUUGUUAAGCAUCGCUUAAAGCAUCGCCAUGAACCUCACAUAGCUUACUCUUCGGCCUUUUCAACAUGAGAUCAUUCGGUUAUAAUUAUCGAUAGGGUAUGAUUUAUACACUAAAAUAAUCCAAUUUAUUCAUUAAAAAACACAUCCAAGCCUCGAUUUUAACAUCGAUAUAUUCUAUUCAAACAAUUAAAGUACUAAUCACAUCUAAACAACACUUCAUUUGAAAAGUGAAAAGGAGGAGUUUUGAGUUUUCAACUCCUCUCCUCGAUUAUUUGAAUACGGAGUUUUCUUAACUCGUGUUAGUCCAAUAUGGUCGUCAUUUCUAAUUCAUUUAAGCACAAAGCAAAUCAAAUCCUUUUACAACAGAACUAAAAGGGAGAUACUUUGAGUCUUCAAUUUUUUGCUCCACGACUAUUGAUACAAGUUCUCUUACCUUGGCUUAUUCAAAUAAUUUCGUUCCUUACAAACUUCUAAUCCAUAAAUCAAAUUAUUUUCAUAAUCAAUGCCUAAAUGAAAAGGAGAUGACUUUGAGUCUUCAACUUCUCUCCUCAAUUGUUUGAAUUACGAGUUCUCUUACUCGGCAGUUCCGAAACAAUUUGUCAUUUUUUACAAACAUACAACUUAUCACAAUUCAUUUUCAUAACCCCCAAAACCUUUACACGAAAAAGAGAUUGGUCUUGAGUUUUUCAAAUUCCUCUUCUCAAGUUGGAUAUGAAUGCUACUCAUUCAUUCAGUACUUGUUCGUUCAUUUAAAAAUACAUCACCAUACCCAACCUAUUUCUAAAUCACUCAAUGGGAAAAAAACUGUCUAUAGUCUGUAUUCCCUUCCAAUAUUGGAUACAUUGUCUUACUCUUAUUCGGAUAUCAUCAUUCAUCAAAUACUAUAAUAUCAUUAAAUCCUUUUACAAUAAGAUAAAAAAGAAACAGGUCUAGAGCUCUUCUAGUCCCUUUUCCCGACUUUAGAUACGAUGUCUUACUCGACUAUCCAAGGAAUUGGUCUUCCAACUAAAAACAUCUCAACCAAACCAAAAAUAUCCAACAUAUUAUUCAACCUCACCCUUGAUCAAAAAACUUUUUCAAAAAAAACGACAUUUAAUCCUUUAAUACCACAACAAACUAAUGCUUAAAGCCUCCCACGAGUAGACAACCAACGUUAGCCUUUAGAUCGAUCUAAACAUUCGUUCAUUAAAAGACACCAAACCAAACCGUAGUUCCCGAACACGAAUCUCUUGAUUUCCUAUAUAUCCAUAGGAACUAGGCACAAUUGUUGUAUUUCGCCGUGAGCACAUUAUAAAAAUAAAACCUCCCCUUUCCCUUUCUGAGUCACAUCCAUUUCAUUUUUUAAUAAAUUAUAACCUAAAGAUAACCAAACAAAACAUUGAAAUUAAUACCCGUAAACACAAAUUAGAACUAAAAAGUUCGCUUGAGUACAACGCGUAAGGUGCUAAUACCUUUCUCUUACGUAAUCCACUCCCGACCCGAAUAUGCGUUGCAUGACCAUUAUUCUAUUUCAAUUUUUAUCGAUUUCCAUAUCCUUCAUUGAUAAAUUUAAAUCGUGCGAUCUUCGAACACUAUUUUUCCGCGACCAUCACAGGAAAUCGUAUUUCGAGAUCACAGAUGGCACUCUGCUGGAUACCUCCAACAAAGAGUAGCCUAGUAUAGUUCCAUUUCAUAUUGGGUGGUUAAUCUGUUUAGUCUUUAUCUGUUAUUUAUUUUUUAUUCUGCUAUUAUUAUUCUGUCAUAAUUAUUAUAUUGUGACUUAUUGACUAUGUCUUAUUUGGGGUUCUCUGGUUGGUGAUACUUGGUGAGAUAGGCUCUCCACCCGAGUCUGAGAAAAAACAUAAGAUUAAGUUGGUGGUUGCAUAGUGGGCGCCCGCAAGGAGUUUUCCUUGUUGGGAAGAAACGAAGACCCCGCCUAGAGGAGAUUCUCUUGAGAUAUUAUUGUCCGACGAGUUUUCGUCAUGACGAUAGUAUUCUCAAGUUGGAUCAAUGACUCUAGGGACCUUUUAACCCAUUAUAUCCGGCGGUUAUGUAGUAUUAACCUACAAAGUUUCAGACUUGUUGGGUUAAUACGAAAGCCCCAAUCAGAUGAGAUCCCUUGGACGUAUUAUUACCUGACAGUAAUAUUUCCAACCUCGAUCUAUGACUCUGAGAACCUUUUUAGAACCCUGGACUCGAGAGUCGUGUAGUAGAAUCCUCAUGGAGUUUUCCUUGUUGGGAUAAUACAAAGCCCUCACCUAGACGAGAUCUUCUUAAGGAUACUAUUGUCUGACGAGUCUUCGUCACGGCAGUAACGUCCUCAAGAAAUAUCCAUGACUCUGGGAACCUACCAACUGUAGAGCCUACCCAUGGGGUUCCAUUAUUCAGAGAUACCCGUCGUUCACCCGUUAUUCUGAUCUAUCUAAAAACACUUUGAACCUGUGAUCCUGAACAUGUCACUACACUCAUACACAUAUCAUUGCAUCUGCAAUCGUCAUGCAUUGCAUAUCAUUUUUCACCAAAAAAUAUAAAUACAAAAAAAAAACUCAUUCAUCCUUCAUCCAUAACCUACAGUUGAUUUCCCGACACUUAUAUCAGACUGAAAGAAGCUCUUGAAAAACCAUGGAUCCAUUGGAGCAAAAUCACAUUGCAUUAAGAGGAGAUGUUGACUUGAUGAAAAACCAGAUAGACCAACUUGUGGAGGCUAUGAUAGCUUUAGAAAAGAGGGAGGACAACAUUCAGCAGACUACAGUCGUAGAGAAUGUUAUUCUAGCUCUAGUAAAUGGUCUUACCCAACCUCAGCUUGUGCAAACCCCAGUUGAUAACUCCACUGUACAAGAACGUCAUGUUGUUCAAGAUUCCUCACGUCAUGAUGCUGUUGAGUAUCACAGUUUUGCAUUCUCCAUGCCAGAUUCCUAUGGAACAAGCCUAGUGGUUAAUGCUAAACAACCACAAGAUGAUGAGAUUGCUAAAAGAUGUUGCAUGCUAGAGAAAAGACUCAAGACCAUAGAAGGACAAGACACUCUUAAACUGAAUGCUUUAGACAUGUGUUUGGUACCUGGCCUGGUUAUACCCGCAGAAUUCAAGCAACCAUGGACUGUUCCUCAUACAAAUCAAAGAUCUCGUGGUCAAGGAUAUCAUAAUCAACUACUGAACCAGCAUAAGCCUCGAAACAAUCUGGAAAGAAGGAAUGCUCCUCUCGAUCUAAUUCCUAUGUCAUACAGUCAACUUUUGCCAUAUCUGAUUCAAAGCUCACUGGUGGAGCCCAAGUCUCUCAGGCCAUUGUCAGAACCAUACCCACCUGGAUAUGAUCCUGAUGUGCAAUGUGGAUAUCAUGCCGGAACAAUAGGGCAUUCAACUGAAAACGCAAUCUUUCUAAGGCUAAAUUGCAACCAAUUGAUCGACCAAAAAGUAUACAUAUCCUUUUCAAAGAAGCUGUUGUGCACGUUAAUCUCCUCGUCAGAAUGCAGUUUCAAAAUUUAGUAGAGUAUUCUUCUCUGCCAGUAGUUCAGACAGGAAGACAUCCUCAACACUGGCAAUCGUUGGACUGAUUUGUUUCUAUUUUUGCAUUUGUAGUUUCUUUGUUGUUAAAAGCUGCUUGUGUUUAAACAUUGUUUGUUUUUAAUGGUAAUAUUAAUGAAGUAAUGAUGCAUGUUUUGAAUUAAUCAUCUCGCAUUCGCUCAUUUUUCUUCUCUUAUAUCAAAAACAAAAAUACAUCACUGUUUCACCCAUUCGCUUUUCUUUAUCAUAACCUUUGUUUUAGCAAAGAUUUGAGGGAGGAUGACGAAAACAAGUUACCCAUAAUUGCCGACUAUAUGCUUUCGGAUAAAAUCCCGCUGAUGAUGUACAGGCAUUGUUUCAAAUUCCCAAACACUGGAGAGAUAAGGAGUUAAUCCCUAGUCAACCACUUCGAGCCUGAAGUAGGAGUUUCUUUCGGAUCUUAAAAACCUUACACUAAACCUGGGGCAGGGUAGUGUUCAGUUAAUCUGACUAUGCAUUCAAAUCACAAGAUGAAAUAUCCAGUAUGUGGAUCAACUACAUGACAUUCUUCGCACACAUCCUAAAGUGUCGAAGGAACCUUGUUCACAAGAUGAAAUAUCCAGUAUGUGGAUCAACUACAUGACAUUCUUCGCACACAUCCUAAAGUGUCGAAGGAACCUUGAAAAAUCAAAAAGUUAUGACGGUUGUUCUUCAAUGACCAAUGACUUGGCAAUCACAUUCUAAAAAAGGGAAUCAAUAAAAAGCCCGCUAAGUCGAUACCCCAAAAGGAGACUUAUGAAAAAACCGGGGCAAUCCCGAUGGACUAAAGCUUCAAAAAGCGGUCCAUGCAAAAGUUAGGGAUCAAAACAAAAAUCAAAGGAGGUCACAGAAACCCUCAACAAAAUAAAAACAAGAUUUAGUGACCACCAUAUCAAGAAUCAAAGGGUCACCAAUAUCCAUGAAGAACAAAAUAAAGUGUCUGUCAUUUCAAGAGAUCUUACACCUGCAAACUCUCUUAAAAGUUGAAUGUGUAUGGCGAAUUAACUGAGCAUAGGACUGGAGUUUAUCAAGAAGAAGGGUGGGUACAUAAACAAUUUUGAGCCUCAUAUCCUUUGUUUCGAUAACCGUGAACCAAGCCACGUUACAACCCUUAAAAGACCUAAUUGAAGUAGGGUUUAUUCCGAAAGCAUACUACAUCAAGGUUGCGUAAACUGACUCCUAAAAAUUUGCUAAUCUUUUACUUUGGUACAAUCUUCUUGUUGUAUCCUUCGCAUUGUUAAAUCAUCAUUGGGUUUGGAUUAAAAUGGUCCACUCGUCACACAUUAUCACAUCAUUCAAAUAAAUUCUUUUCAAAACUUGCAUGAGUAUCGCAUUAAAAUUACCAUUUCUGAACAAGCAAUUUUAACUGCAAGUCAGUACUUGACGUCAGGGAAAUUCCAACAAUAAGGAACAAUUAGAGGAACUUGGGCAUUCGUUGGUGCUAACCCGAAUCAAGACUACCUCAUAACCCACGAAUCAGGUGCAUGCCACCCAAAACAUCAAGUUGAUCAUAGGAAAAUUACUCCAAGAAUUGGUCAGUCUUAAACAGUCUCCAACAUCUGUUAAUAAAUGUGCAAAUCAUUUCAAGAAUUAGUUGAUCCAGAGCAAAUUAUCUCAGGACUCUAUUAACUAGGGGCAGAUCACCUAGAGGUUCUGUUGGCCAGGGGCAGACCCCUUCAAUGUUCAGUUAGGGUGAGUUAAGUCGCUUCAACGCUCAUACCGGGGCAAGCUACCUCAAGAGUACAGAAAAGUCAACCGCUCCAAGAGUCGGUUAACCAAGGAUAAAUCCUUUCAUGGAUCAAAAUUCUGGGGCAAUCCAUCUCCAAAUUAUGGUACAAUUGCUUUCAAAAUCCUUUCGAGGUAAACAUUUUGCAUAGACCCAUCACAUUGGGGCAAGAUGAGCCAUACAGGAGCAAGUCAUCUCCCUGACUUGAAGCUGUUCAAGCGAGAGCUUUUUCACACGUCAUCAACUGCAGAGUUCAAGAUGAGUGUCGGGGAAUCAUGCUAUCAUCCCAUAAAACAGCCAUCUGGCAGACAGAAGCCUUUCUGCAAAGAACCUUCUCUUCCAAUACCCACGCAGGGGCAUUUUGAAAACCUUCAAAUCAUUGCAUAAAGCAUCCUCAUGCAUUAGUCAUGUCACUUUGCUCUAAGAUAAAACCAUGCAUAUCAUAAAAUUCAUGGGGUCUAACCCCAUAACAUGAACCUGGCAUCAAAAAGCCUUGAAACACAAAAUCUGACACCAAUGCCCAACAUCGCUUGACCAUUUCAAAGUCCAGUUCUCGUCUGGCAAUUUAUUUCAAAGUCCAGUUCCCGUUUGGCAACUUAUUUCAAAAGCCCAGUUCCCGUCUGGAAAACCUUUUUCAAAAAAAACAGUUCCCGUCUGGCAAUUUAUUUCAAAGCCCAGUUCCCGUCUGGCAAUUUAUUUCGAAGUCCAGUUCUCGUCUGGCAACUUAUUCCAAAGUCCAGUUCCCGUCUGGCAAACUAUAUCAAAAAUCAGUUCUUGUACGACAAAUCAUUUGCCAAAUACUAGUUCUCGUCUGAUAAAUUAUCUCUUAAUACCAGUUCUCGUCUGGUAAAUUAUCUCUUAAUACCAGUUCUUGUCUGGUAAGUUAUCUAUUAAUACCAUUUCUCGUCUGGUAAAUUAUCUCUUAAUAUCAGUUCUCGUCUGGUAAAUUAUCUCUUAAAUACCAAUUCUCGUCUGAUAGUUAAUUAUUUUCACUAGUUCUCGUCUGGUAGCCUACUUUAAAAAUUAGUUCCUGUUUGACAAACAAAAACAAAUUCAGUCCUAUCUGACAUUUCAAUUAUUUUCACGAGUUCACGUCUGGUAACAUAUCCUUCAAGUGUUGUCCUCAUCUGGCAGUUCAAUCUCCUUCACCAGUUCUCAUUUGGCAGUUCCCAUUCUAAGUCCACACUAUUGGCAUCAAACCGCAAAGCAAAAAUGUCUUAACUAGGGGCAUGUCCAAAUACCCAUUUGCAUUCUAACAUGCAUCAUGUAAAUCAAUCAUACAUGGUUUUCCUACCAAACAGAAAAUUCAAAAAAACACAGUCAUAUCAAUCAUCAGCAUACUCAUGCAUAACACUCCCACAAAAUGGGAAUUUCAAUAAAAAAAUAAAAAUCAUUUGCAUUCCUACAUGCACAACCAAAUAUCCCCAGCAAUUGCAUACUUGCAUGCAUCUCAUACACCACCCCAUACAUGGUAUUCCCACCUAAAGUGGGACAUCAUACAAAAAUCAAAAGUAAAAUGUCAGGACCCAAGGUCAUUCAUGUAUAUCUUGGAUAUUCCUCAUUCCAAAUGAAGUUAUUACCCUGCAUAUGCUCGUGGGAUUAUAUCUCAGUAAAUCAUUUUUUCGACUUUAUGAUUAAAAAUGAUAUUUCCAACAUUUUUCUUUACAAUCAUUGCUCCCCAAGCAGAGGUUACCCUAAAAAGUCUCUUAUGAGCUUUUCCCCUGCAGAGCAUUUCUAGUAAAUCUCCCUCAAAAGGAGUAUUUUCUUAAAAAUUCCCCCAACAGACGAAUGUUCGAGAUACUGCUUCAUUUAUCUGAAGAAUCUCAUUUUUCUGUUUGAGAUACUGCUCUAAUAUCCUCGGAGAGUCUUAGAUUCAAUUAAAGUAUUUUUCCCUUGCUGGAAUAUUUUAAUUCUAUCAUAUAAGAUGUUGUUUUGACUCGAUACAGAGAAUCUCAUUUUUACUGUUUGAGAUACUGCUUCAUCAAUAUGAAGAGUCUCAUUUCAGAUUCUUUUAGAGAUACUGCUCUAAUAUCCUCGGAGAGUCUUAGAUUCGGUUAAGGUAUCUUUCCCUUGCUGGAAUAUCUUAAUUCUAUCAUAUAAGAUGCUGCUUCGACUCGAUACAGAGAGUCUCAUUUUUGCUGUUUGAGAUACUGCUUCAUCAAUAUGGAGAAUCUCAUUUCAGAUUUCUAGUCUAUGACGAGAUUCAUAGGAGCCUCUGUCUUAGAUUCAAUUAAGGUAUCAUUCCCUUGUUCGGAAUAUCUUAAUUCUAUCAUAUAAGAUGCUGCUUCGACUCGAUACAGAGAAUCUCAUUUUUACUAUUUGAGAUACUGCUUCAUCAACAUGAAGAGUCUCAUUUCAGAUUUUUUUAGAGAUACUGCUCUAAUAUCCUCGGAGAGUCUUAGAUUCAAUUAAAGUAUUUUUCCCUUGCUGAAAUAUUUUAAUUCUAUCAUAUGAGAUGCUGCUUCGACUCGAUACAGAGAAUCUCAUUUUUACUGUUGAAAUGCUGCUUCAUCAAUAUGAAGAGUCUCAUGCCAGAUUUUCUUUAUAUUGCUCUAGCAUCCUGGAAAACUCUUGAGAUUUAGCUAGGAAUGUCAUUCUAUUACUAACAUAUCUCGACCAUGACGUCCAAGAUACUGUUCUGACGACUCCCAGAAAGUCUUGGCUGUUCCAUUUUACUUUAGGAUAACGUCUCUCACUAUUUCUCACUGCAUUUUCUUCCUUGCAUUUCAAAGGACAAAAUUUGGGUCUUUUCGUAUUUAAUUAUCUUCCACUACGAAUGUAUGAAGACUCUUGUCGUUCUUACCUUCUAGUUCAAGAUAAUGAAAUAGGGGCAACUGUCAUACCCCAAUUUUGUCCGGGCAUUUUAAAUUUUCAUAAAUUCAAUUUAAUUUUCAGUUUACAACAUAUGUACAUCAUAAUAUGCAUUUUAUCAUUAAUAAUACCUGAAAUAUCAGUCAGGAUAAACUUAUUAAAAAUACAGACAAAUCGGUUGAAUCUUUUCUCAAGUACGGACCAAAUCAGCGGGUAAAAAAUUUCAGAAUUAAAAUUACAGACAUCAGUAUUAUUAAUCUACAGUUCAUGUAGUUUAACCUGGUGUGCUCGUUGUAUUUUUCAGCAGCUGUUUCAGUUGUGUUUUGACCCGCCUGAGCCUUUUAACCGAUGCAAACUUAUUCUAGAAUUUGAAGAAACGCUGUAUUUUUUCAAUAAGUAUAUUUUGUGCUGAUCAUUUUAGUGUGUCUGAUUUAAUUUUUCGAGCAAAUUUUUGUCCGAAUUUUAUUCAUUUUUAGUCGUUUUAAUUUUAUUCUUUCGUCAAAAUAGUCAGAUUAAAUAAAUAGAAUUUUUCAUGUUAUUAUUUUAAUUUUAUCAUGAUUAUUUAAAAAGUUGUGAAUUUUAUUUGAUUCAAUUGAUUAAAAUUGUUUUAAAUCGAUUAAGUCAUCUAAAAAAAGGCAUUAUAUGUAUUUUGAUUUAUUUAAUUAGGAUGUGUUUCUUUGAUUCAAUCUGAAUCGUUGAUUCAAAUUAAUCAAAGGCCCAUGUUAGCAAUCCAUACUCAUUUCCAAUAUCCAAUCAUAAAAUAGAAAUUUAAAUAAAUAGUUAAAUAGAAAAUUAGAAAAUAUUAAAAAAUAUCUCUUUCAAUCCAAUUGCCAGGUGCCACGUGACAAUCUUAUCUUCUUGUGAAUGGUACAGGCUUGGCAAAUGGUCCUAUCACUCCUUUCCAACGGUAACAAAAAUAAUAUUAAAAAAGGGAGGCAUACGUUUCCAUGGGCCACUUACAUAUUAACUGAUGCUCUCUCCUCCAAAGAUAGAAAAAAAUGAAAUAGAAAGUGAAAAGGAGAAAGGUGGAUUCACGUUCACGAUAAAAUAAUAAAAGAAGGAAAAAGAAGAAAUCUCUCUCACUCACCUCACUAUCACCCACCUCCACUAACAAACCAAACCCUCGCCGUUUACCGUUUUCAACAUUACAAACCCAUUCACCUUCAUCAACUCACCUUCCGACCGUCACCAACCUCCGCCAUGAUUAUCGCUAUGAAAUCUCCUCACCCAAACACACCUUUCAUCAACUACUCAUAGCCUCGCCGCAAUUACCAACUCUGAUACGUCUUAAUUCCGGUUUCCACUCUGAUUACGUUUCGAUUAGAUUAAGCUUGUGAUAAGUUUUCUGUUUAGAUCUGUUGCAGGUUCUAGCAUCGAAGUUACUUUUUCCAGGAGAAGAAAAACGUUUGAGAAACAAUGCUCCAGAUCUGUUUCUACCGAAGCUACAACGCCAACUCGGCGGUGAUUCUCAACAACAAUGAAGCGGAAGCAUCAAACAACAAUGGAACCUUGUUUUCUUCCUUUUUUUUUUUGCUUUAAUGCGAUUGGGUUUUUGUCUGUUUGAUUUUUUUGCAGCUCAUUGCCGCUCAUAAUCGUUGCGGGUUCGAUUCAGGAUCUAUAUUCAAUUUUGAACUGAUUACGACAUCGUCAGAGUCCAUUCCAUUUCUAACCGCACAAGAAUAACCACCGUGUACACAUCUCAUGGG